AUUCAGUAUCCAUCCUAGUGAAAGAUCCCCAGAGUGGGGAGACCCUCACUCAAGUCUCGGGAUAAGCCGAUGCCCCAAUAAUUCAAGAGAGACC
rnacentral:pre_miRNA from 11 species